rnacentral:rRNA from 1 species
UACGUAGGGUGCAAGCGUUUAAUCGGAAUUACUGGGCGUAAAGCGUGCGCAGGCGGUUGUGCAAGACCGAUGUGAAAUCCCCGGGCUUAACCUGGGAAUGGCAUUGGUGACUGCACGGCUAGAGUGUGUCAGAGGGGGGUAGAAUUCCACGUGUAGCAGUGAAAUGCGUAGAGAUGUGGAGGAACACCGAUGGGCGAAGGCAGCCCCCUGGGUCAAGAUUGACGCUCAUGCACGAAAGCGUGGGGGAGCAAACAGG